rnacentral:rRNA from 1 species
AACUUAGGAGACAAACGUUAUCCGGAGUUACUGGGCGUAAAGGGCGUGCAGGCGGUCGACUAAGUCUGGCGUGAAAGCUCUCGGCUAAACCGGGAGAGGUCGUUGGAUACUGGUUGACUAGAGGACGGUAGAGGCGUGUGGAAUUCCGGGUGUAGUGGUGAAAUGCGUAGAGAUCCGGAGGAACACCAGUGGCGAAGGCGACACGCUGGGCCGUACCUGACGCUGAUACGCGACAGCAUGGGGAGCGAACGGG